GCCUCAAAAGAGACACUGAGCAGAAACAAAUUAGUGCUGUGCUCCAUAGUCCAUGUCGAAUCAAGGAUUGCUAUUAUUAGUGGUGUUUUUAUUGCACCAAAGCUCUUCCGUAUUCUCAGCACCCUGACCGUUGGGGGUUCCUCUCCCCAUUUUGUGGUCAGACCUGUCCCUGCCCUCUGGCUCCUCCCUCCAGCCUCUCUCUCUCUGUCUCUCACCAGCAGGUGCCUCAGGGAUGCAGAGCUCAGACACUAACCUGCCCUCUGCCACCCACCUAAUCAGUCUCCUUCCAGCAGGUGCAGCUGGGAGGUCACCCUGGGCUUCUCUCCACCAGCGGGAAAGCAGAACCAUGCUGGGUCCCCUCGCCUUCCUGUGCGCCCUCCUGUUUCCCGGUGGCGUGGCAGCGAUCAGUGUGGAGCAGCCAGCCGUGGUGGUGGCACGUGCAGGCAGCUGGGCCACGCUGCCCUGCAAAGCCAGCACCUCGGUCAGCUACAUCCACUGGUACCGCCACCAGGAGGGUACAGCCCCCAAGAGGAUCCUCAUGAUGGAUAUGUCCAGCUCAUAUGUGACCAGAGAUGGUGUCUUGACAGCAGACAAGGUCCACGCCAAGAAAGGCAAGGAUAGCACAAGCUCUAGCCUGUUGCUGCUGAAGCUGGCGAAGAGCGAUGAGGGCGUGUAUUACUGUGCUGUUUGGGAAGAUCAGAGCACAGCCUUACAGGAAGCUCAGAGCUGUGCCAGACUGACGAUUCAAGAAUCUGACCAUCUCCAAUGAAGAAUGUGGGAAUAAAAUAUCGUGCAAAUAAUUUCAAGGCCGAGAGACUCUCUGGGGAUUCCGCACAAAAUGGGUGCAAGCAGAGACUGGAAGGCAGUUCCUGACUCUAGUU